rnacentral:rRNA from 1 species
ACGGGUGAGCAACGCGUGAGAAUCUACCCUUUAGUGAGGAAUACCCUCGAGAAAUCGAGGCUAAUACUGCAUACGUCCCUUCGGGGAGAAAGAUGGCCUCUUUGCUAUCGCUAAAGGAUGAGCUUGCGUACUAUUAGCUAGUUGGUGAGGUAACGGCUCACCAAGGCGAUGAUGGUUAACCGGCCUGAGAGGGUGUACGGUCACACUGGAACUUAGACACGGUCCAGACUCCUACGGGAGGCAGCAGUGAGGAAUCUUGCGCAAUGGGCGAAAGCCUGACGCAGCGACGCCGCGUGAAGGAUGAAGGUCUUCGGAUUGUAAACUUCUGUUAAGCGGGAAGAAAGGCCUAUUUCUAAUACAGAUAGGUUAUGACGGUACCGCUAGAGAAAGCACCGGCUAACUUCGUGCCAGCAGCCGCGGUAAUACGAGGGGUGCAAGCGUUAUUCGGAUUUAUUGGGCGUAAAGGGUGUGCAGACGGUUUAUUAAGUCACUUGUUAAAUUCUUCGGCCUAACUGAAGGUAUGCGAGUGAUACUGAUGAACUAGAGGGUGGAAGAGAGAAGUGGAAUUCUCGGAGUAGCGGUA